AUCCAGCUGACCAGUCUCGAAUAAGUCGAAACGCGCGUCAAACUGGAU
rnacentral:hammerhead_ribozyme from 1 species